AGCAGGUAGCAGGUGCUAAAUUACGGUGUAUUACGGGGCGCGAUGGACAUUCGAUACGGCGGCGCGAGCACGAGUCACACGAUACAAACGAUCUGGCACGUACGGCUCGCAAAAUGAAAUAUCGAUCGUAGAGAAGCCGGAAAGCCAUUGCCCGAUCGCAUUAUGCACCGAUAAAUACUGUUUUGUUACCCCCUGAUACGGAUGAGG